AAUAUAAUCAAUCUAGCAUUGGGUAGCAGGGACGAUUUCGAAUUCAUCAUCGAUGUAAUCACAGGUAUAAUAAAAGAGAGAGCAGCGCGAGAAAGGGCAGAGCAGGCCGGUUAAAAAACAAAAAAAAAAUAAAAAAAAAUAAGUAAAUAAAUAAAAAAAAUAAUAAAUAAAAAAUUCUACGUUUUUUGGUGGUACAUUAUACUUACUCUACUGAAUUUAGGUAUGUAGGUAUAUGCGUAGGUAGGUAGACAAAGGUAGAAAAUUGCAUCAACUCUUUGAAUUUUGGUAUAAUUAGGUAUGCAGGUAAGCAAGGACAAAUGUAGGAAAAAAAAUAAAUAAAUAAAAAAAAACUCUACGUUUUUGGCGGUACAUUAUAUUACUCUAUUGAAUUUAGGUAUGUAGGUAUAUACGUAGAUAGGUAAGUAAAGACAAAGGUAGAACGACCCUCCCGUUGAGGGCCGCCCCCCAGUCCCAUGAAUUGUCCCAAUCGUGUUUUCGAUCCCACAUAGGGAUCAAGUACCUCAAUUACGGCCCUAUCGUUUCCGAUAGGAGCCUAGGAAACCCCCUCCUUGUAGGGACAGACACUCCAACUCUCCCCCUACCGCUUCUAGGUAGGGGGGAGGAUAUAGGCCAUGUUCAAGAACACUUUACUUUAGACAGCGCGGAAUGUCCCCAUGUAUCGUUCUCUAUAGAACACGUCCAGGGACAUUCCGGGUCGGAAGAAGGGGUGGUUUUAGUUGGUAGGCGGCUGGUUAUGGGGGGCACGCGGGAUGCAUUGACUACGUGUGGUUGAAGCAUCCUAGCGUGUUCUCCUCUCCUGUCCGAGUUCAACAGUACUAGGGACACCUUCCCUAGUCUGCUAUGAGCGUUCCCCUCAGUCCAAAAAAAAA
rnacentral:lncRNA from 1 species